rnacentral:tRNA from 1 species
GCUGGAUUAGUUUAGUUGGUAGAACGCCGGAUUUGUAACCCGGUGACAGCCGUUCAAGUCGGCUAUCCAGCACCA